CAGAAACUCACGCAGCCCCAGACCCCAAGGAUCUGCUCUGCGUGACUGGGCCCUAAGAUGGUUUCUCUGCCUCCCUUUUCACCAGCAGCUGAGCCGAAAUCAAUGGCGUUAUGAGAGUGUUUUAUGGCUGUAGGCGUCAAUGGUGGUCAGGAUGAGACCUGCUGUACAUCUAUUCCUUGCUUCUGAAUAUAUGGGAGUAACAAAGCCAGUGUGUGGAAACAUGCUGGCUACACAUGGGCUGUCCCUCGCUUGGGGCAGGGGCUUUCCCGAAGGACGGGCCCCUAGGAUGGUGCAGAGGGUGUUCAGAGCUGGCACUCGCCAACCCGACUUCCCACAGCAGGUCUGCUGGACGGCGUGAGCCCGAGGAUCACACAGC